rnacentral:lncRNA from 10 species
GUCACACGGGUACCCGGAGUUCCUUGAAAUCCCAUACCUCUGUUAAACUUUGGGACUUCCAGAGCUCCCCUGAACCAACCCAUCAGAACACAGGAAGUUUGAAUUUUUCAUUUGCAUAAGCGAACCUAUGUGAGAACUUUCAGUAUAAAAGCUGGACCCUCUCUUUGUUCUCUGGAAAGCAUCCUGGUUUUACGCUGAAGGCAGCAUCUCCCACUUCACAAACUGUUCAUAGGAAUAGUCUUUCCUCUACAUUCCUUUUCAAAGAACUUUUGUGCACCCUGAAUUGGAGGUGGAGUAGUAAGCUGUGAAAAAUACAUUGUGUGCGGAGGCUGCCAAGAAGAGUGAUUUUAAGGAGGCUAUGCUGAAAUCUCUCUGGGUCUGGGCCUCCCACUGUUGAUAAGAAAGAUGCUUUCCCAAACGUAUGGGGAGGGCAUCUUUCACAUGAGAAUUUCGUCUCCUGCUUUUAAGACAUGGAAUGGCGAUCAGCUUAAAGCCAGAGCAAUGCCUUUGGGGUGGUGGGCUCUUAGCUCCUUCAGGAUCACGCCACAGAAGGAAAUCGGUGAGCACCUGCUCCCGCCCUCAGAAAAAGCUGCAGUUUCUUAGGGAGUGACAGCUGUUCAUGCCAGCUUUGGGGGCACUUCCCAUCUGGAGCAAAGGAGGUCAACUUCGAACAGCACGAAGCCAGCUGCUUCCCAAGGAGCUGUGUUCAGCUGGGCAAGGCUGAUGACUGAAGCCUGGCUGCUGGUGCCUGGGAAUAAAUCAGAGGCUGACGAUGGUCACUGGAGAAGAACAGCAACAAGGCAUCAGUGACGAUUGCCACCUGUCAGUCGCCUCCUCAGAACCACAUCCUGAGCUGAGCUGUGACUAACUUGACCUCUGCACCUCUGUGAAAAAGGAUAUGGCUGCCCGUUUUCCAGCAAGGAAUGAGGACUGAGGGCAGCUCUUGGCUUUGGUUGGCCAGGGCUUGAACCUUCUGUUUCUGGGCAGAACUAGAGCCAUAAGGGGUGAUCCAAAGGGAAGGCAAUUCCUGGGUUCACCCAUAAACUCAUAACAGAGUUGUUAUACUUUCUGCUGAGAUAAAUGACUUCUUUUAUUUCCCUUUUGGAGAACAAUUGCCCAAUGUUCUGGCUAGUUUUUAUUUGGCUUAAAUUUUGGAAUGAAAGGAAAGUAUGACCCAUUAGUGAAGCUGGAUGUGAAGAUGGAGAAAGUGUGUAUGCCUGUGUCUCCAUGAGAAAGACAAGACUAAGCAAGAAAUACUAACCCCUGAGCAGCAGGUCAGGC